rnacentral:misc_RNA from 1 species
CUACGGAGUACAAAAGACUAAUUAGAAAAUUAAUUAGUAUCUAACCUACUUAAAAAAUCAGACCUGUUAUUACAAUAUAUAUUUAUGUCAUGUGGCUUUUUACAAGGUCGAAGUCUUAUAUCUAGUUUUGAGAGAAUAUCUCUCAUUUGUUCUUUGAAAACUGAAUAGUAAAUUUUUUGAUAUUUACAACGACAUCUAAAUAAAUUAAUUUGGUUAAUUUGUUUUGAUUCAUCGAGUAAUCAUUUAAAUAUGAUUCAUUGAAAUGUCUUAAAAUACACAUCUGUAACAAUCAAUAGGAAAAUACAAAUAU